CCACAUUCCUUGGUUGGGUAAGAUUCUCAGCUAACUUCACCCCCCUCUCACUUCCGUUUUGCCCCAGGGAAGGGAGAUACAUACACGCACUCAGCCCUGACAGUUACAGUGACUACAAUCAUGAAAUAUUCACAGGAAGACUUUAUUUAAUAGAAGAGAGAUGGGAAAAAGCUCUACGGAGAUAGGAAUGCCACCAGGAUGCUGGCUAGGUUUCCCUGGAUUGAAGACCCCACCAACGUGUCCUGGAGCUCAGCUUCCCCAGAGACACACCUUACUAGGGAAAGAGAGAGGCAGACUGGGGGUAUGGACCGACCAGUCAACGCCCAUGUUCAGCGGGGAAGCAAUUACAGAAGCCAGACCUUCUACCUUCUGCAACCCUCAACGACCCUGGGUCCAUGCUCCCAGAGGGAUAGAGAAUGGGAAAGCUACCAUGGGAGUGGGUGGGUUAUGGGGAUUGGGUGGUGGGAAUUGUGUGGAGUUGUACCCCUCCUACCUUAUGCUUUUGUUCACUAAUCCAUUCUUAAAUAAAAAAAAAAAAAAAAGCCAACAUGGGCUAAGGUCCAUGUUUAAAAAAAAAAAAAAAGAAGAAGACUUCCAUGCCUGAGGCUCUAGGUCCUAGAUUCAAUCCCUAACCCCACCAUAAACUAACCAAUGUUCUGAUAACACUUUCUCUCUGUUAUC